AUCAAAACAAUAAAAUGGAUUAUAUUUACAUGAUUCUUAAAUGUUUACCUUUUAAGUUUGAGCAUCACAAGAGAACCAAAGAAGAGAUCAACACAAAGAGUUGACAACAAGUAGCAUAUUAUUUGGCACAAUCUUAAUUAAAACCCUCAUAUUUAUGGGGGAUCGUCCAUAAAAGGCUUAAAAAUAGAACAAACUAUACAUUCUUUUGUAACUAGUUUCCACUUUAUAAAAAGCAAUUCAGAAUUAAGACUAGACCAUUAUUUCAAAGUAAAGAGAAAGGGAGAGAGAAAACGUAGAACUUUGAAUUCCCACGAGAGAGAAAACCAAGAAGAGAUAAAGCAGAAACAGAAAAGUAGAAAAGGACGAAACAAAGGUACGAUUUUGUCAAAACCGAAUCAAAAUAUGGCCUUAAAAAGAGAAUGUAACAAAGAUAUCAAGUAACCAUUACAUAAUUAUCUUUAAGAUAAACACACAAAAUGUACUAGUACUAGAAACUAACUCAAGUCAAGCUCUGUUUCCCUCUUUGGCCAGCCACAGAAUAUCAAAAAAGAAACCAAUAAACAAAGAGCAUAAAUUCAAAUUUUCCCUUUUUUUAAACCCCAUUUGGUAUAGUAUACCAGAGAACAGAAAGUUUCAAUUUUUGAAAACAAAAACACCCCAUAAUCCAUAAAGCAAGCAUCUUUNNNNN
rnacentral:lncRNA from 1 species